AGCUUUGUGCAGUGGCAGUAUCGUAGCCAAUGAGGAUUAUCUGAGGCGUGAUUAUUGCUAAUUAAAAAUAAAGAUGAUCAACAACACUGAUACACCUUUUUUUUUUUUUUUGGUACGGGGAUCCAACUCAGGACCUUGAACUUGCAAGGCAUGUAUAGUACCACUGAGCUAAAUCCCC
rnacentral:snRNA from 14 species